AUGAAAUCCCAACUGUACCUGGCGGUGUCUGGGAAUCCCUCGCCGGCACCGAUCGUAAUUCCCCUCCGCGCCUCUGGCCCCCCACACCAAAACUUUGCCGCCGCCGCUCCUCGGUGGUGGCCGCCGCCGCCCUCCGCCCGGCGCCGCUCCCGGCCGGCCCCGCGGGCCCGCUCCCCGCCGGCCGCCGAGCUCCGAGCGACCCCCGCGCCUCCCGCGCCUUCCUCCGCCCUUACGAGGCGGCAUCGUCCUACCCCCUGCUCCGCCACCUCCUCCUCCGGCGCGCAGCCCGCGGCUCUGGCAUUCCCAACGCGCUUGCUCUCCUCGAUUCGCUCGCUCUUUCCUCCGCCGUUCCUCCUUCUCCGAUCACAUGAGGAGCAGGCACGGCGACCCAGGACCCUCGUAAGUCGGAGAAGGCAUCGGACACAUACUGUACAUCUGGGAGAUGAUUUUGGAGGUGUGAAGAAGAACAAACAUCACUCCCUGGCAUGUGUUCUACUCCAGAUGAGCAUGUCAGCACACUCUUUUUGAUUGCUUACCUGGUGGUAGUGCUCUGUGAAGGGAUUCCGUCACCACAGGACUGUUUCUUACUCAGGUCAGUGGAAAUUGUCAAAUUGUGUGUCAGGCUUUUACAAA
rnacentral:lncRNA from 12 species